AGUGAACGCUGGCGGUAGGCCUAACACAUGCAAGUCGAACGGCAGCACAGGAGAGCUUGCUCUCUGGGUGGCGAGUGGCGGACGGGUGAGGAAUACAUCGGAAUCUACCUUUUCGUGGGGGAUAACGUAGGGAAACUUACGCUAAUACCGCAUACGACCUACGGGUGAAAGUGGGGGACCGCAAGGCCUCACGCGAUUAGAUGAGCCGAUGUCCGAUUAGCUAGUUGGCGGGGUAAUGGCCCACCAAGGCGACGAUCGGUAGCUGGUCUGAGAGGAUGAUCAGCCACACUGGAACUGAGACACGGUCCAGACUCCUACGGGAGGCAGCAGUGGGGAAUAUUGGACAAUGGGCGCAAGCCUGAUCCAGCCAUACCGCGUGGGUGAAGAAGGCCUUCGGGUUGUAAAGCCCUUUUGUUGGGAAAGAAAUCCUAUCGGUUAAUAACCGGUGGGGAUGACGGUACCCAAAGAAUAAGCACCGGCUAACUUCGUGCCAGCAGCCGCGGUAAUACGAAGGGUGCAAGCGUUACUCGGAAUUACUGGGCGUAAAGCGUGCGUAGGUGGUGGUUUAAGCCUGCUGUGAAAGCCCUGGGCUCAACCUGGGAAUUGCAGUGGAUACUGGAUUACUAGAGUGUGGUAGAGGGAUGCGGAAUUUCUGGUGUAGCAGUGAAAUGCGUAGAGAUCAGAAGGAACAUCCGUGGCGAAGGCGGCAUCCUGGGCCAACACUGACACUGAGGCACGAAAGCGUGGGGAGCAAACAGG
rnacentral:rRNA from 1 species